AAUAAUGGACAAUGGGCGAAAGCCUGAUCCAGCCUUGCCGCGUGUGUGAAGAAGGACUUCUGAUUGUAAAGCACGUUAAGUUGGGAGGAAGGGUUGUAGGUUAAUACCCUGCAAUUUUGACGUUACCAGCAGAAUAAGCACCGGCUAACUGCGUGCAAGUAGCCGCGCUAAUACGAAGGGUGCAAGCGUUAAUCGGAAUUACUGGGCGUAAAGCGCGCGUAGGUGGUUCGGUAAGUUGGAAGUGAAAGCCCCGGGCUUAACCUGGGAAUUGCUUUCAAAACUGACGAGCUAGAGUACGGUAGAGGGUAGUGGAAUUUCCUGUGUAGCGGUGAAAUGCGUAGAUAUAGGAAGGAACAUCAGUGGCGAAGGCGACUACCUGGACUGAUACUGACACUGAGGUGCGAAAGCGUGGGGAGCAAACAGG
rnacentral:rRNA from 1 species